ACCAGGUCUUGACAUCCCUGACAACCCGAGAGAGUCCGGGCGUUCCCCUUCGGGGGACAGGGUGACAGGUGGUGCAUGGUUGUCGUCAGCUCGUGUCGUGAGAUGUUGGGUUAAGUCCCGCAACGAGCGCAACCCUCGACCUUAGUUGCCAGCAUUCAGUUGGGCACUCUAAGGUGACUGCCGGCUAAAAGUCGGAGGAAGGUGGGAUGACGUCAAGUCCUCAUGGCCUUUAUGCUUAGGGCUACACACGUGCUACAAUGGGUGGUACAAAGAGAAGCCAACUCGCGAGAGCGCGCCAAUCUCAAAAAGCCAUCCUCAGUUCGGAUUGGAGUCUGCAACUCGACUCCAUGAAGUUGGAAUCGCUAGUAAUCGCGGAUCAGCAUGCCGCGGUGAAUACGUUCCCGGGCCUU
rnacentral:rRNA from 1 species